GAUGAACGCGGGCGGCGUGCCUAACACAUGCAAGUCGAGCGGCAGCGCGAGUAGUUUACUACUGGGCGGCGAGCGGCGAACGGUGAGUAACGCGUGGGAAUUUGCCCCAAAGUGAGGAAUAACUGCCCGAAAGGGUGGCUAAUGCCGCAUAUGAUCUUCGGAUUAAAGGAUUUAUCCGCUUUGGGAGAAGCCCGCGUCGGAUUAGGUAGUUGGUGAGGUAAUAGCUCACCAAGCCGACGAUCCGUAGCUGGUCUGAGAGGAUGACCAGCCAGACUGGAACUGAGACACGGUCCAGACUCCUACGGGAGGCAGCAGUGAGGAAUCUUCCACAAUGGGCGAAAGCCUGAUGGAGCAACGCCGCGUGCAGGAUGAAGGCCUUCGGGUUGUAAACUGCUUUUAUAAGUGAGGAAUAUGACG
rnacentral:rRNA from 1 species